UAUGGUCAAAUCAUGCUAAAUACACCAGUUCUUGUUUGAUCACCAUAGUUAAGCAGUGUCAAGCCCAGUUAGUACUUAGAUGGGUGACUGCUUCAGAACACCAGAUACUGUAA